GGCUGUAGCAGGAGACCUGCGGCUGCAUCUCCCAGGGCCUUCCGGCGGGGCCGAGGCACACAAUACUGAGACCAGAAUAAAGCAGUGCAUUUACUACCUUGUGAAGAAUGUUCAGGUGUUCAGGUAUGGUAUCUUCAUUUUGUGCUGCUAUAACAGAAUACAGGAGACUGGGUAAUUUGUAAGGAACAGAAAUGUAUUUCUCACAGUUCUGGAGGAUGGGAAGUCUAAGAUCAAGGAGCUGGCACUUGUUGACUAGGGCUUUCUUGCUGUGUUCUCACAUACAGAAGGCAAGCUAGCAGGAUGCUCCCCGAAACCUCUUUUAUUAUGGGCCUUCAUCCCAGUCCUAAGAGAAUCCCUCAUGGCCUAGUGAUCUCUUAAAGACCCCACCUCUUGAUGCUGUCACAUUGGCAACACUUGAAUUUGAGGGGACACAUACAAGCCAUAGCAAACUGAACAUUUCUCCCAUGCCAGAUAGCACCAUGUUCUUUGUCAGUAGGUGGUGGUAGAGGGGCACUGCAGGAUAAAGGGGCUUCUUUCACUUCUAAGAUGAUACUGUGACAGUUAAUUUUAUGUGUCAACUUGGCGGGGCCACAGGUGCCUAGCUACUGGGUCAUACUUUUUUUUUUUUUUUUUUUGAGAUUUAACUUUUGCUCUGAUUUUCCAAUUAUAAGGUCAAACAUUAUUCUAGGUGUUUCUGUGAGGGUGUUUUAUAUGAGAUUGACAUUUAAAUCAAUCAGUGAACUCUGAGUAAUGCAGACUGUCCUCCUCGAUGUUAGUGGGCUUGAUCCAGUCAGGUGAAGGUCUGAAGAGAAAAAAAGACCGUCCUCUUCCCAGAACAAGAGAAUCCUCCAACAGAUACCUUUGGACUGGACCUUGCACCAUCAGCUUUCCUGGGUUUCCAGCCUCCUGCCUCACACUCCAGCUUUUGGACUUGUUAGACUUAAUAAUAACAACACAAGCCAAUCCUUUUAAGGAAGUUUGUCUGGAGAAUCUUGACAAACACAAACAUCUACUGAGAGUUCCUGUCCAAGUUUUGCUCACACCCUAGCAAGAGGCUUCUGGCUUACCAGUUGGGAGUGUGAGGUUCUUUGCUUGUAAGACCUGAUCCACCAGCGGUACACCAGCUCUGGCCCAGGGCAAGACAGGGAAUUUCCCAAUCACUGAGUAGGCUGUAGCCACUCUCUCCAUUAGGCCUGACUUCACCAUGGGGAAGGGGAGACCCUUUCAAGGGUAUUCUUUCCUGGGGUACUCUCAGUCCUAGGACAUCAUAGCUCUCUUUCAUCCCUCUUAAAAGUUAAUACCAUUAUCAGUUAACAGUUUUUAUAUUAAAAUUAUCCCUGUUCAAGUUAAUGGUAUGGUUUCUGUAUCCUGACUGGAUAUUAGGAUACAGUAUUUACUGUCUUAUUUCUACUACUUUAUGUUUAAAGUUUUUCAUAAUAUUUAAACUGAAGUUUUGAUCAUUCAUUAAAUAUUUACACAGAACAGGACAAAGGAUGAUUUUCCUUUGUCUAGUUAUUGUAAGGUAGCGUCCAAGAUUUACCACCACAUCAUGAUUACAGAUGGUCACCAACUUAUGUUUUAGGAUUUUUUGACUUUAUGAUGGGUUUAUAGGGAUGCAGCCCCAUUUCAAGCUGAGGAGCUCCUUAGGGCUUAGGAAUCAUACCUCUUUCACACCAUGGUAAAGUUGGAAAAUUGUUAAGUCAAGCUGUCAUUAAUUAGGAGACUGCUGUGUUGCUAACGUUAUAUGCAUUUUUAACUUAUGAUGGGUUUAUUGGGAAUUAACCACAAUGUAAAUCGAGGACCAUCUGUAUAUUGUAUGAUUUUUGCUAAUGCAUUGAGAGAGAUCUGUGUAAAUUAUCUAUGACUUCAGAAUAUGCAUAUUACCUCCAACUGUGUUAACUCAACGUUUUUCAAGAGAGUAAGGGUACUUUCACCCUAUGUGGAUGUACUGUAGAAUUUUUCUAAGCUACGAAAGUCUAUAAAUAACAAAUCAACUUAAACUUUUUGGGAAAUAAUUUCUACUAAAGAUUCAUAAUCGGCGUAUUCCUUCAAUGACUGUACAAGUUCAUCCAGUAGAUAAUCUCCUUGCAUAAAAGUUUCAAGAUCAUGCAGCGUCUUGUUUAUUCUGUGAUCUGUGACCCGGUUCUGUGGAAAAUUAUAUGUUCUUAUUUUCUCUGAUCUUCCUUUACUUCCAAUCUGUAUAUAGAGAAAAAGAUGAGAUGCAGCUAGAUUCAGGGCAAUUUAAACCUACAAAUUUAACUUAUUUGGAGACUUAAGUUCUUGAUUUAUAACAUGAAUCAAAUGCGAGAACCAGGUUUUAAACACUUAGAAUCUCAAAUGACAUGGGAACAUGAUAUAGAAAAAAGAACACGUGCUCUAAAAUCAGAUUAAUAUCUGAAUCCUGCCUCAGCCACUUCAAUGUUCUAUGACCUCGGGCAACUUAGUUUCCCGAUCUGCAAAAUACAGUGUCUACUACACAGUGAUGAUGACAAUAGAGCCUGGCACAUAGAUGCUAUUCCUAUAGUCGCUGAAUACAUAUAAUCUCUGUGAAUUAAUGCAGUCAUCUUCCGUGGUAACAAGGUGGUGAGUUUCCCAUAUUGAGGAAUUCUUAAAAGGCUCUGUAGUUAUAAAAUUAAAUACCG
rnacentral:lncRNA from 1 species